rnacentral:rRNA from 1 species
CCUACGGGGGGCAGCAGUGAGGAAUAUUGGUCAAUGGGCGAGAGCCUGAACCAGCCAAGUCGCGUGAAGGAUGAAGGCCCUAUGGUUUGUAAACUUCUUUUAUAUGGGAAUAAAGUGAGGCACGUGUUCCUUUUUGUAUGUACCCUAUGAAUAAGGAUCGGCUAACUCCGUGCCAGCAGCCGCGGUAAUACGGAGGAUGCGAGCGUUAUCCGGAUUUAUUGGGUUUAAAGGGUGCGUAGGUGGGUAUUUAAGUCAGCUGUGAAAGUUUGUGGCUCAACCGUAAAAUUGCCGUUGAAACUGGUAGACUUGAGUAUAUUUGAGGUAGGCGGAAUGCGUGGUGUAGCGGUGAAAUGCAUAGAUAUCACGCAGAACUCCGAUUGCGAAGGCAGCUUACUAAACUAUAACUGACACUGAAGCACGAAAGCGUGGGGAUCAAACAGGAUUAGAUACCCGUGUAGUC